GAGUAAUGUCUGGGAAACUGCCUGAUGGAGGGGGAUAACUACUGGAAACGGUGGCUAAUACCGCAUAACGUCGCAAGACCAAAGAGGGGGACCUUCGGGCCUCUUGCCAUCAGAUGUGCCCAGAUGGGAUUAGCUUGUUGGUGAGGUAACGGCUCACCAAGGCGACGAUCCCUAGCUGGUCUGAGAGGAUGACCAGCCACACUGGAACUGAGACACGGUCCAGACUCCUACGGGAGGCAGCAGUGGGGAAUAUUGCACAAUGGGCGCAAGCCUGAUGCAGCCAUGCCGCGUGUAUGAAGAAGGCCUUCGGGUUGUAAAGUACUUUCAGCGGGGAGGAAGGUGUUGUGGUUAAUAACCGCAGCAAUUGACGUUACCCGCAGAAGAAGCACCGGCUAACUCCGUGCCAGCAGCCGCGGUAAUACGGAGGGUGCAAGCGUUAAUCGGAAUUACUGGGCGUAAAGCGCACGCAGGCGGUCUGUCAAGUCGGAUGUGAAAUCCCCGGGCUCAACCUGGGAACUGCAUUCGAAACUGGCAGGCUUGAGUCUUGUAGAGGGGGGUAGAAUUCCAGGUGUAGCGGUGAAAUGCGUAGAGAUCUGGAGGAAUACCGGUGGCGAAGGCGGCCCCCUGGACAAAGACUGACGCUCAGGUGCGAAAGCGUGGGGAGCAAACAGGAUUAGAUACCCUGGUAGUCCACGCCGUAAACGAUGUCUACUUGGAGGUUGUGCCCUUGAGGCGUGGCUUCCGGAGCUAACGCGUUAAGUAGACCGCCUGGGGAGUACGGCCGCAAGGUUAAAACUCAAAUGAAUUGACGGGGGCCCGCACAAGCGGUGGAGCAUGUGGUUUAAUUCGAUGCAACGCGAAGAACCUUACCUGGUCUUGACAUCCACAGAAGAAUCCAGAGAUGGAUUUGUGCCUUCGGGAACUGUGAGACAGGUGCUGCAUGGCUGUCGUCAGCUCGUGUUGUGAAAUGUUGGGUUAAGUCCCGCAACGAGCGCAACCCUU
rnacentral:rRNA from 1 species